CAAUGCCACAAAGGCCGCAGCAUCCUCCGCACAGCUCACAUGCUGCACCCCUACUUCCACUUCUGGUUUGCUGCAUUUUCCCUCUCCUCCCACUGUAGCCGACAUCACGAAGCCUCGAUACAGCAGCUGCGCCCAUGAUCCGGAUCCGGGUUGUGACCCGAAGUCCGACCCGGAUCCGGAUCCUGAACCGAGGUCGAAGCUGCUGUUGGGGCUAGUCAACGGGGUAGCCCCGUUGAUGAUGUCUAUACCAAUUUUGCCACCCUUUUUGGUGCUGAUUGUAGAGUUGACUAGUGUGAUGGCGUCUGUGGCUCCAUCAGGGAUGAUCUCGAAGCGGUAGCCG
rnacentral:lncRNA from 1 species